AUUAAAGAGUUCUAUAACUCCCAAACCCAUGUGAACAUACCUAACGUUGCCUCGGCAGGUCGCACCUACCUUGUAGCACCCUACCCUGUAGGGCCUACCCGGGAGGUGCGGGUAAGCCUGCCGGCGGCCCACCAAACUCUGUUUGAUAUUGAAUUCUGAACCUAUAACUAAAAUAAGUUAAAACUUUCAACAACGGAUCUCUUGGUUCUGGCAUCGAUGAAGAACGCAGCGAAAUGCGAUAAGUAAUGUGAAUUGCAGAAUUCAGUGAAUCAUCGAAUCUUUGAACGCAUAUUGCGCCCAUUAGUAUUCUAGUGGGCAGGACCGUUCGAGCGUCAUUUCAACCCUUAAGCCUUCGUUGCUUAGUGUUGGGAGCCUACGGCAACGUAGCUCCUCAAAGUUAGUGGCGGAGUUGGUUCACACUCUAGACGUAGUAAUUUUUUAUCUCGCCUAUUAGUUGGACUAAUCCCCUGCCGUAAAACCCCCAAUUUAUCAAGGUUGACCUCGAAUCGGUUCAGACAAACUCGCUAAAUUGAAGCAUCUUAGUCAGCGAAGGAAAAGAAACCAACAGGGAUUGCCCUAGUAACGGCGAGUGAAGCGGCAACAGCUCAAAUUUGAAAUC
rnacentral:rRNA from 1 species